AUCCAUCUGACGAGUGCUAAAUAGAACGAAACCCACGUCCUGGAU
rnacentral:hammerhead_ribozyme from 1 species